AUUGAACGCUGGCGGCAGGCCUAACACAUGCAAGUCGAGCGAGCGGCGGACGGGUGAGUAAUGUAUGGGGACUGCCCGAUAGAGGGGGAUAAAUAUGGGAAACGGUAGCGAAUACCGCAUACUAUCGGAGCACCCAUAGGGGAUUAGCGAGUUGGUGAGGUAAUGGCUCACCAAGGCGACGAUCCCUAGCUGGUCUGAGAGGCAGAUCAGCCCCACUGGGACUGAGACAAGGCCCAGACUCCUACGGAGGCAUCAGUGGGGAAUAUUGCACAAUGGGCGCAAGCCUGAUGCAGCCAUGCCGCGUGUAUGAAGAAGGCCCUAGGGUUGUAAAGUACUUUCAGUCGGGAGGCGUUACCGACAGAAGAAGCACCGGCUAACUCCGUGCCAGCAGCCGCGGUAAUAC
rnacentral:rRNA from 1 species